AGAGUUUGAUCAUGGCUCAGGAUUAACGCUAGCGGCAGGCCUAAUACAUGCAAGUCGAGGGGUAACAGGGUAGCAAUAUCGCUGACGACCGGCGCACGGGUGCGUAACACGUAUGCAACAUACCUAUAACUGGGGAAUAGCCUUCCGAAAGGAAGAUUAACACCGCAUAAUACUACAGAGGGGCAUCUUUUUGUAGUCAAACCUCCGGGGGUUAUAGAUUGGCAUGCGUUCGAUUAGUUAGUUGGCGAGGUAAUGGCUCACCAAGACUACGAUCGAUAGGGGUUCUGAGAGGAAGAUCCCCCACACUGGUACUGAGACACGGACCAGACUCCUACGGGAGGCAGC
rnacentral:rRNA from 1 species